GCAAGUCGCACGGGCAGUAGCAAUACUGUCAGUGGCGGACGGGUGAGUAACGCGUAGGAAUCUAUCCUUGGAAUGGGGGACAACCGUGGGAAACUACGGCUAAUACCGCAUGAUGCCUGAGGGCCAAAGACGAAAGUCGUUUGAGGAGGAGCCUGCGUCUGAUUAGGUAGUUGGUGGGGUAAAGGCCUACCAAGCCUACGAUCAGUAGCUGGUCUGAGAGGAUGAUCAGCCACAUUGGGACUGAGACACGGCCCAAACUCCUACGGGAGGCAGCAGUGGGGAAUAUUGGACAAUGGGCGCAAGCCUGAUCCAGCAAUGCCGCGUGGGUGAAGAAGGUCUUCGGAUUGUAAAGCCCUUUUGGCGGGGACGAUGAUGACGGUACCCGCAGAAUAAGCUCCGGCUAACUUCGUG
rnacentral:rRNA from 1 species